UACGGAGGGGGCUAGCGUUGUUCGGAAUUAUUGGGCGUAAAGGGCAGGUAGGUGGUCUCUCAAGUCCACUGUGAAAUCCCUGGGCUUAACCCAGGAAGUGCGGUGGAUACUGUGAGACUAGAGUGCCGGAGGGGUGAGUGGAAUUCCCAGUGUAGAGGUGAAAUUCGUAGAUAUUGGGAAGAACACCGGUGGCGAAGGCGGCUCACUGGCUCGUAACUGACGCUCAUGCACGACAGCGUGGGGAUCAAACAGG
rnacentral:rRNA from 1 species